UUUUUACCGUCGCUGUCACAAUC
rnacentral:siRNA from 1 species